AUAUUUUCGAGAUUUACUGCAAUGAAACCAAGCGUUCGAUUGCUUGACGUCACUUCGUGAUCGACAUCGAUGAAACGCUUGCUUACGCUGUAGAAGUUAUUUUCUGUGCAAAAACAAGCGUCUAUUAAUAACGAAACGAUAACUUGUCAACAAUGAGAAUCAGAUACUUGGCUUAAUAAUUUUCAUUUAAAAUGUCUAAUUUGGAUAUAAUUCGGAAUACAAAACGAAACUUAAAAGGUAUUUUUUUUAAAAAACGUUCCAAAGCACAAUGUGGAUUUCAAUAGAAAUACUAUUUCCACCGACAAUCAGUAUUUCCGGUAUGACCACUGUUAUUUUGACGAUUUUUCUAUCGAAUCGUCGGUAAGCGUGACCACAUGUGACAACAGCGAUGCCAGUUGAAAAAUUGGUAGACGAGUCGUUGAACUCGACACAUUGGCCGAAUCGCUUUCGGCAUGCAGUGCUUGUCAACUCAAGUGCCAUGAAUUUACUUAACACAGUAGAAAGCAGGGAUUUCGGACUGGCAUGUGUUUUGGACAUACAGUGUAGCAAUUGUGGUGCAAUAAAUAAUGUGGCUACUGGAUGGAAACAUGGCAGAGUUUAUGACAUGAACACAAAGCUUGCAUUGGGUUAAUCAGAAACUGGGUGUUUCACCUGGGACUUUCACAUAAAAAAUGGCCCUUCUCCGUGACCUUCAGCACAAAAAAAGAAAGGCUAUAACUGUUACUCGUGCAGCAAAACAGCGACGCAUAAGACUCAAAACUGGAACGGCAUUCAAAGGACAUAGUGCAAGAAGUACGAGAGGGUCCAACAUACUGUUCAAACAUAGAGGACCAAGAUGUUGAAGUUACAACUAUACCCCCACCUGUACCCAAGCCUGGUCCAGCAGGGCUAGACACUACUGGGAAGGAAUGUGUUUUCUUUGAUUUGGAAACAAGAG